GGGUUGUGAGGUUAAGCGACUAAGCGUACACGGUGGAUGCCCUGGCAGUCAGAGGCGAUGAAGGACGUGCUAAUCUGCGAUAAGCGCCGGUAAGGUGAUAUGAACCGUUAUAACCGGCGAUUUCCGAAUGGGGAAACCCAGUGUGACUCGUCACACUAUCAUUAACUGAAUCCAUAGGUUAAUGAGGCGAACCGGGGGAACUGAAACAUCUAAGUACCCCGAGG
rnacentral:rRNA from 5 species